CCUAGUAGACUUAUAAAGGGAAUCCCACACCAAAACUCACACCUAAACUCACAAUAAACAUUUUACCCAGAAGUAGUCUUUCUCUCGCCAGAAACACGCUGGGAAGCUGCGACCUGCCACCUGGUACACAUUGGGUGCCCAAGAAUUUCGAGAAAAAUGAAGAGAAACUUGGAGAAUUUGAGGAGGAAAGAUACACUAAGGGGCCAAGAUAGGAAUCCAAGGGCAUAAUUGUUGAAGAAACUUAGGGGAAUUAAGCUAAGGAAAUAAGGCUUUGAAGAAGACAUGGAGCGCAUGAAUAAUUCAGGAUCAUCACAAUAGUUUUUAGCUCUUUUCCAACAUUCCAGAUGGAAAUGACCUCUAGCAGAGUGUGGGCCGAAAAUGAGAGGAAGCUUCUCAUAGUUUUUCUAGUGGAUGAGUUUUAUGAAGAUAAUAAAUAGUCUUAUAUAAUGUUAGGUCUUAAGGGCAUUUAAACUUAUUUGGGUUUUUGUGUGAGACUUGCAUGUCUCGUCGCUUUUCGUUAAUGUUGUGGUUUGACUAUGGUUUUAAGUUUAUGGAAGAUAUGAAAACUUCAGUUGGAGUUUACCUUUAUUUAUUAUUUUAGAGAAUCAUAAUUGUACUGA